rfam:Ovis aries breed Texel chromosome 9, whole genome shotgun sequence.
UCCCUCAUAGUUCAGUCGGUAAAGAAUCUGCCUGCAAUGCAGGAGACCCAGGUUCAAUUCCUGGUUUGGGAA